CGCACAUUGCGCCCGCCAGUAUUCUGGCGGGCAUGCCUGUCCGAGCGUCAUUUCAACCCUCGAGAACCUCCCUUCACUGGGAGGCUAUCGGUGUUGGGGAUCGACCGCCGCCCUCGCGGUGGUGGUCGCCCCCUAAAACUAGUGGCGGUCUCGCUGUAGCCUCCUCUGCGCAGUAGCUUGCAACCUCGCAGCCUGGAGAGCGGCGCGGCCACGCCGUGAAACCCCAACUUAUACAAGGUUGACCUCGGAUCAGGUAGGAAUACCCGCUGAACUUAA
rnacentral:misc_RNA from 1 species